UCAGGCCUGAUGUCUAGUUUAUUGCUUUUAUGUCAUGGGAAAAGUCAAAUAUCUUUGACUGUAUUAUUGCAUGUCUCCAUAUAGCCUUC